rnacentral:rRNA from 1 species
GUGUCAGCCGCCGCGGUAAUACGUAGGUGGCAAGCGUUGUCCGGAAUUAUUGGGCGUAAAGCGCGCGCAGGUGGUUUCUUAAGUCUGAUGUGAAAGCCCACGGCUUAACCGUCGUUGGUCAUUGGAAACUGGGAGUCUUGAGUGCAGAAGAGGAAAGUGGAAUUCCACGUGUAGCGGUGAAAUGCGUAGAGAUGUGGAGGAACACCAGUGGCGAAGGCGACUUUAUGGACUGCAACGGAAGCUGAGGCGCGAAAGCGUGGGGAGCAAACAGG